UACGUAGGGUCCAAGCGUUAUCCGGAAUCACUGGGCGUAAAGCGUACGUAGGCGGAUGUUCACGUGUAAUGCGAAAUCUUGUGGCUCAACCAUAUAGACUGUAUUACAUACGGGACGUCUAGAGGACGGCAGAGGCAAGUGGAAUUUGUAGUGUAGCAGUGAAAUGCGUAGAUAUUACAAGGAACACCAAUGGCGAAGGCAGCUUGCUGGGCCGUAUCUGACGCUGAGGUACGAAAGCGUGGGGAGCGAACAGG
rnacentral:rRNA from 1 species